GGACUACCCGGGUUUCUAAUCCUGUUUGCUCCCCACGCUUUCGUGCAUGAGCGUCAGUGCUGGCCCAGGAGGCUGCCUUCGCCAUCGGUGUUCCUCCACAUCUCUACGCAUUUCACUGCUACACGUGGAAUUCCACCUCCCUCUGCCGCACUCCAAGCUAUCCAGUCUCAAGCGCAAUUCCUAGGUUAAGCCCAGGGAUUUCACACCUGACUUAAAUAACCGCCUGCGCACGCUUUACGCCCAGUAAUUCCGAUUAACGCUCGCACCCUACGUAUUACCGCGGCUGCUGGCAC
rnacentral:rRNA from 1 species